AUGAACGCUAGCGACAGGCUUAACACAUGCAAGUCGAGGGGCAGCGGGGGUAGCAAUACCCGCCGGCGACCGGCGCACGGGUGAGUAACGCGUAUGCAACUUACCUAUCAGAGGGGGAUAACCCGGCGAAAGUCGGACUAAUACCGCAUGAAGCAGGGGCCCCGCAUGGGGAUAUUUGCUAAAGAUUCAUCGCUGAUAGAUAGGCAUGCGUUCCAUUAGGCAGUUGGCGGGGUAACGGCCCACCAAACCGACGAUGGAUAGGGGUUCUGAGAGGAAGGUCCCCCACAUUGGUACUGAGACACGGACCAAACUCCUACGGGAGGCAGCAGUGAGGAAUAUUGGUCAAUGGCCGAGAGGCUGAACCAGCCAAGUCGCGUGAGGGAUGAAGGUUCUAUGGAUCGUAAACCUCUUUUAUAAGGGAAUAAAGUGCGGGACGUGUCCCGUUUUGUAUGUACCUUAUGAAUAAGGAUCGGCUAACUCCGUGCCAGCAGCCGCGGUAAUACGGAGGAUCCGAGCGUUAUCCGGAUUUAUUGGGUUUAAAGGGUGCGUAGGCGGCCUUUUAAGUCAGCGGUGAAAGUCUGUGGCUCAACCAUAGAAUUGCCGUUGAAACUGGGGGGCUUGAGUAUGUUUGAGGCAGGCGGAAUGCGUGGUGUAGCGGUGAAAUGCAUAGAUAUCACGCAGAACCCCGAUUGCGAAGGCAGCCUGCCAAGCCAUUACUGACGCUGAUGCACGAAAGCGUGGGGAUCAAACAGGAUUAGAUACCCUGGUAGUCCACGCAGUAAACGAUGAUCACUAGCUGUUUGCGAUACACUGUAAGCGGCACAGCGAAAGCGUUAAGUGAUCCACCUGGGGAGUACGCCGGCAACGGUGAAACUCAAAGGAAUUGACGGGGGCCCGCACAAGCGGAGGAACAUGUGGUUUAAUUCGAUGAUACGCGAGGAACCUUACCCGGGUUUGAACGCAUUCGGACCGAGGUGGAAACACCUUUUCUAGCAAUAGCCGUUUGCGAGGUGCUGCAUGGUUGUCGUCAGCUCGUGCCGUGAGGUGUCGGCUUAAGUGCCAUAACGAGCGCAACCCUUGCCACUAGUUACUAACAGGUAAAGCUGAGGACUCUGGUGGGACUGCCAGCGUAAGCUGCGAGGAAGGCGGGGAUGACGUCAAAUCAGCACGGCCCUUACAUCCGGGGCGACACACGUGUUACAAUGGCGUGGACAAAGGGAAGCCACCUGGCGACAGGGAGCGAAUCCCCAAACCACGUCUCAGUUCGGAUCGGAGUCUGCAACCCGACUCCGUGAAGCUGGAUUCGCUAGUAAUCGCGCAUCAGCCAUGGCGCGGUGAAUACGUUCCCGGGCCUUGUACACACCGCCCGUCAAGCCAUGGGAGCCGGGGGUACCUGAAGUCCGUAACCGCGAGGAUCGGCCUAGGGUAAAACUGGUGACUGGGGCU
rnacentral:rRNA from 1 species